rnacentral:rRNA from 1 species
UAUAGGGGGGGCAAGCGUUGUUCGGAAUUACUGGGCGUAAAGGGCUCGUAGGUGGCCAACUAAGUCAGACGUGAAAUCCCUCAGCUUAACUGGGGAACUGCGUCUGAGACUGGCGAGCUUGAGGGUAGGAGAGGAAUGCGGAAUUCCAGGUGUAGCGGUGAAAUGCGUAGAUAUCUGGAGGAACACCGGUGGCGAAGGCGGCAUUCUGGACUACAUCUGACACUGAAGAACGAAAGCCAGGGGAGCAAACGGG